rnacentral:rRNA from 1 species
AACGAACGCUGGCGGCAGGCCUAACACAUGCAAGUCGAGCGAGGACUUCGGUCCUAGCGGCGGACGGGUGAGUAACGCGUGGGAACGUGCCCUUUGCUUCGGAAUAGCCCUGGGAAACUGGGAGUAAUACCGGAUGAGCCCUUUGGGGGAAAGAUUUAUCGGCGAAGGAUCGGCCCGCGUUGGAUUAGGUAGUUGGUGGGGUAAUGGCCUACCAAGCCGACGAUCCAUAGCUGGUUUGAGAGGAUGAUCAGCCACACUGGGACUGAGACACGGCCCAGACCCCUACGGGAGGCAGCAGUGGGGAAUUUUAAAAAAGGGGGGAAACCUUAAUCUAGCCAUGCCGGGGGAGGGAUGAAGGCCUUAGGGUUGAAAAGCUCUUUCAGGUGGAAAGAAAAUGACGGUACAAAGAAAAGAAGCCCCGGAUAACUCCGG